GCCUGGGUGGCUCAGUCGGUUGGGCAUCCGACUUCAGCUCAGGUCAUGAUUUCACGGUUUGUGGGUUCGAGCCCCAUGUCGGGCU
rnacentral:tRNA from 1 species